rnacentral:rRNA from 1 species
AGGGUUCGAUUCUGGCUCAGGAUGAACGCUGGCGGCGUGCUUAACACAUGCAAGUCGAACGGGAUCGGCUGGAGCUUGCUCCGGCCGUGAGAGUGGCGAACGGGUGAGUAAUGCGUGACCGACCUGCCCCAUACACCGGAAUAGCUCCUGGAAACGGGUGGUAAUGCCGGAUGCUCCAGUUGGAUGCAUGUCCUUCUGGGAAAGAUUCAUCGGUAUGGGAUGGGGUCGCGUCCUAUCAGGUAGUCGGCGGGGUAACGGCCCACCGAGCCUACGACGGGUAGCCGGCCUGAGAGGGCGACCGGCCACAUUGGGACUGAGAUACGGCCCAGACUCCUACGGGAGGCAGCAGUGGGGAAUAUUGCACAAUGGGCGCAAGCCUGAUGCAGCGACGCCGCGUGCGGGAUGACGGCCUUCGGGUUGUAAACCGCUUUUGACUGGGAGCAAGCCCUUCGGGGUGAGUGUACCUUUCGAAUAAGCACCGGCUAACUACGUGCCAGCAGCCGCGGUAAUACGUAGGGUGCAAGCGUUAAUCGGAAUUACUGGGCGUAAAGGGUGCGCAGGCGGCUGUGCAAGACAGAUGUGAAAUCCCCGGGCUUAACCUGGGAACUGCAUUUGUGACUGCACGGCUAGAGUUUGUCAGAGGAGGGUGGAAUUCCGCGUGUAGCAGUGAAAUGCGUAGAUAUGCGGAAGAACACCAAUGGCGAAGGCAGCCCUCUGGGACAUGACUGACGCUCAUGCACGAAAGCGUGGGGAGCAAACAGGAUUAGAUACCCUGGUAGUCCACGCCCUAAACGAUGUCAGCUGAUUGUUCGGGAAGCAAUUCCUGGGUAACCAAGCCAACGCGUGAAGCUGACCGCCUGGGAAGUACGGUCGCAAGAUUAAAACUCAAAGGAAUUGACGGGGACCCGCACAAGCGGUGGAUGAUGUGGAUUAAUUCGACGCAACGCGAAAAACCUUACCUAGCCUUGACAUGUCAGGAAUCCGGAUGAAAGUCUGGAGUGCCCGCAAGGGAGCCUGAACACAGGUGCUGCAUGGCUGUCGUCAGCUCGUGUCGUGAGAUGUUGGGUUAAGUCCCGCAACGAGCGCAACCCUCGCCCUGUGUUGCCAGCACGUCGUGGUGGGAACUCACGGGGGACCGCCGGGGUCAACUCGGAGGAAGGUGGGGAUGACGUCAGAUCAUCAUGCCCCUUACGUCCAGGGCUUCACGCAUGCUACAAUGGCCGGUACAACGGGAUGCGACCUCGUGAGGGGGAGCGGAUCCCUUAAAACCGGUCUCAGUUCGGAUUGGAGUCUGCAACCCGACUCCAUGAAGGCGGAGUCGCUAGUAAUCGCGGAUCAGCAACGCCGCGGUGAAUGCGUUCCCGGGCCUUGUACACACCGCCCGUCAAGUCAUGAAAGUGGGUAGCACCCGAAGCCGGUGGCCCAACCUUUUUUGGGGGGAGCCGUCUAAGGUGAGACUCGUGAUUGGGACUAAGUCGUAACAAGGUAGCCGUACCGGAAGGUGCGGCUG